rnacentral:rRNA from 1 species
CAUGCAAGUCGAACGAGGAUAUAUCCUUCGGGAUAUAAGCCGAGUGGCACAAGGGUGAGCAAUGCAUAGAUUACCUACCUUUAGGAUAAGGGCAACUUUGUGAAAACGGAGCUAAUACUUAAUAAUACAAAAGAAAAUAAUUUUCUUUUGUCAAAGGGAGGGUAGCAAUACCUUUCGCCUAGAGAGGGGUUUAUGUCCUAUCAGCUUGUUGGUGGGGUAAUAGCCUACCAAGGCGAAGACGGGUAGCCGGUUUAAGAGGAUGGUCGGCCACACUGGGACUGAGACACUGCCCAGACUUCUACGGAAGGCUGCAGUCGAGAAUCUUUCGCAAUGCCCGAAAGGGUGACGAAGCGACGUCGCGUGGGUGAAGAAGGCCUUCGGGUUGUAAAGCCCUGUCAGGAGUUAUGAAAUGUAAGUGCGCUAAUAACGUGCUUAUUUGACAAAGGCUCCAAAGGAAGCCACGGCUAACUCUGUGCCAGCAGCCGCGGUAAUACAGAGGUGGCGAGCGUUGUUCGGAAUUAUUGGGCGUAAAGAGCACGUAGGUGGGUUUGCAAGUCAGAUGUGAAAGCCUUCUGUUCAACGGAAGAAUUGCACCUGAAACUGCUAAUCUUGAGUAUAGGAGGGGAGAAUGGAACUUUUGGUGGAGCGGUGAAAUGCGUUGAUAUCAGAAGGAACGCCGGCGGCGAAAGCGAUUCUCUGGCCUAUUACUGACACUCAGUGUGCGAAAGCUAGGGGAGCAAACGGGAUUAGAUACCCCGGUAGUCCUAGCCGUAAACGAUGGGCACUAAGUAGAGGGGAUUACCUAUAUUCUCUCUGCCGUAGCUAACGCAUUAAGUGCCCCGCCUGGGGAGUACGGCCGCAAGGCUAAAACUCAAAAGAAUUGACGGGGGCUCGCACAAGCGGUGGGGCAUGUGGCUUAAUUCGAUGCAACGCGAAAAACCUUACCGGGGCUUGACAUGAUAGAAGUAGGAACCUGAAAGGGGGACGAACGGUAUCCAGUCCGUAGCUAUUACAGGUGUUGCAUGGCUGUCGUCAGCUCGUGUCGUGAGACGUUGGGUUAAGUCCCCUAACGAGCGAAACCCUUGUUUUUAGUUACCAGCGGGUUAUGCCGGGUACUCUAGAAAGACUGCCGUCGUCAAGACGGAGGAAGGUGGGGAUGACGUCAAGUCAUCAUGGCCCUUAUGCCCCGGGCUGCACACGUGCUACAAUGGUCGGUACAGACGGAAGCGAAGCCGAGAGGUGAAGCGAAUCCUAAAAAGCCGAUCUCAGUUCGGAUUGGAGGCUGAAAUUCGCCUCCAUGAAGUUGGAAUCGCUAGUAAUCGCGGAUCAGCAAUGUCGCGGUGAAUAUGUUCCCGAGCCUUGUACACACCGCCCGUCAAGCCACCCAAGCAGGAUGCACCCGAAAACAUUAUAUCUAACCAGGGCAACUUGGAGGAAAAUGUUGAAGGAGUGUUUUGUGAGGAGGACUAGGUCGUAACAAGGUAGUCGUAGGAGAACCUGCGGCUGGAUCACCUCCUUUCU